rnacentral:tRNA from 1 species
GGAAGAGAAUCGUGCCCGGUGGCGCGUCCGGACUUCAAAUCCGGGUGGGGCUGUUAGCCAGUCCCGGGUGGGUUCGACUCCCACUCUCUUCCGCCA